AGACAUUGCAGCCAAUGGCGUCACGCACGGUGCCCCGCUACCCAAUCGAAAGGCGCGGCUGAGGGAAACGCGGUGGGAACCGCCCCCGACUCCAGGCGACUCCUUGGCCGGGCGGGGGAGAGCGUCCCCGUCAGCUGAGAGCAUCCUCACUCGGUCGGUUCCUCGGGCGAGUUACGGGGACGACCUGCGGGAGCACGCGGGCAGUGGCCGGACGCUGAAGCCCAGGAGAGCGAUGGAGACGCAUGCGGAGGCUGGGAAGGAAGGCAAGCCUUCCUGUGCAUCGGUGGAUCUGCAGGGAGACAGCUCCUUACAGGUGGAGAUUUCUGACGCAGUGAGUGAGCGGGACAAGGUGAAAUUCACUGUUCAAACCAAGAGCUGCCUCCCUCACUUCGCCCAGACCGAGUUCUCAGUCGUGCGGCAGCACGAGGAGUUCAUCUGGCUGCAUGAUGCCUACGUGGAGAACGAGGAGUACGCCGGCCUCAUCGUGAGGAGGGGCCGGGCAGGGGCUGGGAGGGACAGGCAGAGCACUUGGGUGAGGACCAAAGGCUGUGAUGGCCGUCUCGGCAGUGAGAGGCCUCCCAGCUCCGUCCCUCCUUUGAGCAGAUCCCCCCAGCCCCUCCGAGGCCAGACUUUGAGGCUUCGAGGGAAAAGCUACAGAAAUUGGGCGAGGGGGACAGCUCUGUCACUCGGGAAGAGUUUGCCAAGAUGAAGCAGGAGCUGGAAGCGUGAGUGCCCCCUCCUUUCCCUGCCAUCCCCAGAGCCCAGAUGUCUUCCCCAGCUAUCCCCCCAUGAAUGUUUAGCGACCCUGACCUCUGACCCCAGAAAGGGAGCAGGCAGGAUGAUGGGGCUGAGGAGGGCCCGUGAGCCGCUGCCACUCUCGCAGGGAGUACCUGGCCAUCUUUAAGAAGACAGUUGCGAUGCACGAAGUCUUUCUGCAGCGCCUGGCGGCCCACCCCACCCUGUGUCGAGACCACAACUUCUUUGUGUUUUUGGAAUAUGGACAGGAUCUGAGUGUCC
rnacentral:sRNA from 1 species